rnacentral:rRNA from 1 species
GAUGCUCAGUACGGCGAGUGAGCGGCAACAGCUCAAAUUUGAAAUCUGGCCGCAAGGUCCGAGUUGUAAUUUGCAGAGGAUGCUUUUGGCGAGGUGCCUUCCGAGUUCCCUGGAACGGGACGCCAUAGAGGGUGAGAGCCCCGUACGGUUGGACCACCGAGCCUCUGUAAAGCUCCUUCGACGAGUCGAGUAGUUUGGGAAUGCUGCUCUAAAUGGGAGGUGUACGUCUUCUAAAGCUAAAUACCGGCCAGAGACCGAUAGCGCACAAGUAGAGUGAUCGAAAGAUGAAAAGCACUUUGAAAAGAGGGUUAAAAAGUACGUGAAAUUGUUGAAAGGGAAGCGUUUAUGACCAGACUUGGGCUUGGUUGAACAUCCGGCGUUCUCGCCGGUGCACUCUGCCAGUCCAGGCCAGCAUCAGUUUGUCCCGGGGGAUAAAGGCGGUGGGAAUGUGGCUCCCCCGGGAGUGUUAUAGCCCGCCGUGCAAUGCCCUGGGACGGACUGAGGAACGCGCUUCGGCACGGAUGCUGGCGUAAUGGUCAUCAACGACCCGUCUUGAACACGGACCA